UACGUAGGGUGCAAGCGUUGUCCGGAAUUAUUGGGCGUAAAGAGCUCGUAGGCGGUUCGAUAAGUCAGGUGUUAAAACUCCAGGCUCAACUUGGAGAGGCCACCUGAUACUGUCGUGACUAGAGUCCGGUAGAGGAGCAUGGAAUUCCUGGUGUAGCGGUGAAAUGCGCAGAUAUCAGGAGGAACACCAGCGGCGAAGGCGGUGCUCUGGGCCGGAACUGACGCUGAGGAGCGAAAGCGUGGGGAGCGAACAGG
rnacentral:rRNA from 1 species